AAAGUGUAUAUCGUAAAAAUUAAUUAUUACAAAUAAUGGUUUCUGGUCUUAAUUUAAGGUUAGGCAUAAGGUUAGCAGUGUGGUUAGGGUUUGGUUUAAAGUCUUAUUUUAAGAUAAAAUGUAGAAGUUGGCGGGGGUUAGCCAAUUACGCCUUUGUAGUUGUGGUAACUAGUGACUACUAUCAACAUGUGUGGAAAUAACAACAACACGGCGAGCCGGGAGCUCACCUACGAUGGUUGUAAUCUUUUCAGACAAACACCAGUGUUAUCAACGCUAAAUUGCAAAAGCAAAACUUACGAUCUAAAGAGGAUAACCCAGAACUCCGAGAUUUUGUAGCCAGCUUCAUCAGGCUUCUGGACAAGGUAACCUAAGGGACCAAAAUUGAAAUCAGGUCAUGAAAGGAUGAAUGCAGUGUUGCCAACUCCUCAGUAAGGAAAGUAGCUAUUGGCUGUCCUAACUGACGUCAUCGCUUAAUUUGCAUAAUUGGCCAUGUGCACGUAAUUGUGAUGGACGCUGUAGGAAUAACGUCUUGGAGAGACAAAAGGAACAGUGCUGUUCUACCAGCUAGGCCUGCUGUAUGGCGUCGUGGUGGAACAUGACUAACACCCAGCGCUCUCUGGGUUAUUACCUGGUUUCCCUGCUCAUGUGGGCUCCCUUUAUGAAGCAUCCUUUGAAGGCUGUGCUGAAGGGGAUCACCAACAAUCCCAUUGACUUCUCGUCAACAGAGGCAUACCCAAGUGGCGCAGCGGUCUAAGGCAAUGCUGGAUGUCACUACAGCCCCUGGUUCGUUCCCAGGCUUUGUCACAACCGGCCGUGAUCGGGCGGCCCACAAUUGGCCCAGGGUUGCCUGGCAUAGGGGAGGAUUUGUCUGGGGGAGGGUAGUCCAUCAUUGUCAAUAAGAAUUUGUUUUUAACUGGUUUCCCUAGUAAAAUACAUUUUUUUAAAUUAAUAAAAUAAAGAAUUUUAUCUCUAGUUAUCUCUAAUACUUACGAUUCGACAUGUUGAAUGUGUCCUCCCAUUUUCCACCUGUGGGCUGCAAUUGUAUUCCAUUCUAGACCACGUGGUCAUGUGAGAGUAAACUACAACAUAAUCUCCCACUUCUAAAAAUGGAAAAUGGUAGACCUUGGAUAAAAGCUUAUUUUAAUUACCAUGUUUUCUGUGCUAAACUGUGAAAAUACAGCUCCCUACUACAUCGCACAGUUCAGGCUUGAUCUAAUUUAUCUCUACAGAAACUGCACAUUGAGCUCACUGAAAUCAAAAAAAUUAACAAAAUGGAAUUCAAGUAAUUGAACUGACGUCGUUCUACUGAUUGAGAGAAGAUCAAGUCUAUCAGCCCAACAGAUGUUUCCUUAUAGCGCGAGCACACUGCCUGCUCCACUGACCUGUUGCUGGCUUUAGCCCAUGGGUCUCCAACAGAUAGCCCACCAAUGAGCAUCUCGCUAAUCAAUUCUGAAAGUACAUGCAUUUUUUUCACGUGUUCCAUUGCAAACUGUCAGAAAAUUACAGUUCCUGGCUACUACAUUAUCCCAUCCCUGGUUAGCCACUAUUUGCUUAAAAAGCCAAAUGUAGGGGCCUCCUGAGUGGCACAGUGGUCUAAGACACUGCAUCGCAGUGCUAGCUGUGCCACUAGAGAUUCUGGGUUCGAGUCCAGGCUCUGUCUCAGCCGGACACGACCAGGAGACAUGGGGCCAAUUGUCCCAGCGUCAUCCAACAAGAUAUUAUAUUUGUGUGCACUACGUCAUCCAACAAGAUAUUAUAUUUGUGUGCACUACGUCAUCCAACAAGAUAUUAUAUUUGUGUGCACUACGUCAUCCAACAAGAUAUUAUAUUUGUGUGCACUACGUCAUCCAACAAGAUAUUAUUUUUGUGUGCACUACGUCAUCCAACAAAAUAUUAUUUUUGUGUGCACUACGUCAUCCAACAAGAUAUUAUAUUUGUGUGCACUACGUCAUCCAACAAGAUAUUAUAUUUGUGUGCCCUACGUCAUCACUCACAGCCUUUUAUCCACAACAAGUCCGUUUGAUGGAAACACACCUCUGGUGGGGAAAUGUGCAUAUUGUUUUUAUGGAGAUUGUAGAAUAUUUGCUUGAAAAUUUAGUUUUAAGAAUAGCAACAAAACUGGCUCUUCGUUUGUAGCUCUUUUAAGUCAUGUUUAAGCUCUUAUUUUUGGUGAAAGGACUAUUUAUUUAGCCCUGAUGUCCCAUAGAGGUCAGAAGACCUCUUUUCCAGGCCCGUAUCCACAAAGCAUUUUUGAGUAGGAGCG